UUGUACUGGUUGUGGAUGGGCUCACGGCCUAUCAGCUUGUUGGUGGGGUAAUGGCCUACCAAGGCGACGACGGGUAGCCGGCCUGAGAGGGUGACCGGCCACACUGGGACUGAGACACGGCCCAGACUCCUACGGGAGGCAGCAGUGGGGAAUAUUGCACAAUGGGCGCAAGCCUGAUGCAGCGACGCCGCGUGAGGGAUGACGGCCUUCGGGUUGUAAACCUCUUUCAGCACGGAAGAAGCGAAAGUGACGGUACGUGCAGAAGAAGCGCCGGCUAACUACGUGCCAGCAGCCGCGGUAAUACGUAGGGCGCAAGCGUUGUCCGGAAUUAUUGGGCGUAAAGAGCUCGUAGGCGGUUUGUCGCGUCUGCUGUGAAAGCCCGGGGCUUAACCCCGGGUGUGCAGUGGGUACGGGCAGACUUGAGUGCAGUAGGGGAGACUGGAACUCCUGGUGUAGCGGUGAAAUGCGCAGAUAUCAGGAAGAACACCGAUGGCGAAGGCAGGUCUCUGGGCUGUUACUGACGCUGAGGAGCGAAAGCAUGGGGAGCGAACAGGAUUAGAUACCCUGGUAGUCCAUGCCGUAAACGUUGGGCACUAGGUG
rnacentral:rRNA from 1 species